UGGGGAAUAUUGGACAAUGGGCGCAAGCCUGAUCCAGCCAUGCCGCGUGAGUGAUGAAGGCCUUAGGGUUGUAAAGCUCUUUCGACGGGGACGAUAAUGACGGUACCCGCAGAAGAAGCCCCGGCUAACUUCGUGCCAGCAGCCGCGGUAAUACGAAGGGGGCUAGCGUUGUUCGGAAUCACUGGGCGUAAAGGGCGCGUAGGCGGCCGUUCAAGUCGGGGGUGAAAGCCUGUGGCUCAACCACAGAAUUGCCUUCGAUACUGUACGGCUCGAGACCGGAAGAGGUAAGUGGAACUGCGAGUGUAGAGGUGAAAUUCGUAGAUAUUCGCAAGAACACCAGUGGCGAAGGCGGCUUACUGGUCCGGAUCUGACGCUGAGGCGCGAAAGCGUGGGGAGCAAA
rnacentral:rRNA from 1 species